rnacentral:rRNA from 1 species
AACGAACGCUGGCGGCAGGCUUAACACAUGCAAGUCGAACGCAUCGCAAGAUGAGUGGCAGACGGGUGAGUAACGCGUGGGAACAUACCCUUUGCUAAGGAAUAGCUCUGGGAAACUGGAAUUAAUACCGUAUACGCCGUACGGGGGAAAGAUUUAUCGGGGAAGGUUUGGCCCGCGUUGGAUUAGCUAGUUGGUGGGGUAAAGGCCUACCAAGGCGACGAUCCAUAGCUGGUCUGAGAGGAUGAUCAGCCACAUUGGGACUGGAGACACGGCCCAAGCUCCUACGGGAGGCAGCAGUGGGGAAUAUUGGACAAUGGGCGCAAGCCUGAUCCAGCCAUGCCGCGUGAGUGAUGAAGGCCUUAGGGUUGUAAAGCUCUUUCACCGAUGAAGAUAAUGACGGUAGUCGGAGAAGAAGCCCCGGCUAACUUCGUGCCAGCAGCCGCGGUAAUAC